AGGUGGGCGCUGAAAGGCUCCAGCGAGCUGCGGAGCGGGGACGGAUUCACAGUGCGCCGGCAGGCGCCACAGCAACUCCAAGCAGUCCCCGAGGCAUGGGCAGCACCGCCUCAGACCCUCUAUCGUGUCCUGAAUUUCAACAGUGGCAAGUUCAAGCUAUAUCUGAAAGACAGUUUUAAACAGAAGUGUAAAACCGGAUGCAUCACUGGGCUCCAUGGCCUAUGCCGGUCGUCCCAGCUGCUUACCUGGGAGCCUGAGGCAGGAGGAUCACUUGUACCCAGGAGUUGGAAGCCAGCCUGAGCCAUGCAGGGAGACACCCUGUCUACUGGCACUGUUCCAAGCGCUUUUAUGGGCUGAGGUCUGCAACACCCACGGCCCCGCAAGCUCACUCCUGCUGCUGCUGCUGCACAUGGGAGCUGUGGGUCAGCGUCAUGACGGCCUGAAGUCUCAGAUGGGAACCUGAGGAGUGGGCCCAAUGCUCAUGCCCCUCACUGCCAUGUCAUCUACGUGCAAGUUCUCUCUUCUAAAAUAGUUACCGGAGUAACUAGUUAAUGUAAAACCCAAAGUGAUGUUUUAAUUGGUUCUUAUCAAGUUUCAUUAAUACCUUGCACCUUGUGUCAUGAAGCAAGUAGAAAAACAACGCUGAACAGUCACAGAAUGCUAAAAAUGCACUGUCCGACUACACAUGGAUUGUAGUACUUGGUUUUAAUCGAAUGAAAACUGUUAUGGUUUGUGUCUAGAUGUCCCUCCAAAGCCUCAUGUGGUCCUAGGCUAUUUCAGAGGUGGCUGAAUCUAGAGUGUGUGAUUGAUUCAUGAUGGGGCCAGGCCCGAGAUACUAGGAUAAGGAUGUGAGCGCUACCGCCCUAAGUGGUCUGAAUAAGAGAAAAGGUGCAGAAAGAUGCUGUGAAGUCCCCUUGUUGCUUUUGCUGCUUCCACUACCGUGAACUGU